rnacentral:lncRNA from 1 species
GACUAUGAGAGUCAUAAGCCAAGGUAAGCUUGGUGCUACCUCUUUAUUUUCUUUGCUUUUAUUAUUUGCUUAUGAAGAAUUGUGAUUGAGGGAAGUAUUGUUGAAACUGUGAUUAAAAUAUUGUAGAAUAUGACUUUGGACUAACCGUUUUGGAGAAAAUCUCUGAUCUUGAGAAUUGAGAUUAUCGAAUUGUAUUGUAUUAAGUGAAGAUAUUGAAUUCUGUGUGAUGAAUUGAGAAACUAAAUAUAAUAAGUAAGCUAGAGAUUAGUAAUUGAAUAUAUAUAAACUGCAAAGAGAGUAAGUGGCAGAUGAACUGAUAAGAAUAUGGAAGUAUUGUUGAAUUGAUAGUCGUCAAUGGAUUAUAAGUUGAAUUAAGAUAGAAGUAAUAAGCCUUGGUGUUUUGUAGUUUGAUAAUUGAUUUUAGAUAGCUAGAGUAUAGUCAAUUGUGACACUAAUA